rnacentral:lncRNA from 1 species
AACAUCAAAUCAGUUUUCUCGAAACCUUCUCUUUAUUUCACAGAGCACAGAACCAACUCCUGAUUCAUCAAUAUCAUAUUAGUUCUCUCUAAAGCUUCCCUUUAAUUUACGGUUUUAAACCUUCUCUUGUUCUAGUUUGUGAGUAAAUUAAGAGAGACCAAAAAUGAGUGUGGAGAUUUUGGAUGGUGCCACCAUUGUCAACUUUCUGGAGGACGAGGAAGCAUUCAGCGCGCAAAUAUGUGACCGCUUCGCCCACCUUGAUUCAGACCAUGAUGGCCGGCUUUCCUACGGGGAAAUGUUGAAGGAGCUGCAGUGUUUGAGGUUAUUGGAAACCCACUUCGGCGUAGAUGUGGAAACAGACCCGGAUGAGCUUGCUCUCGUCUAUGGUUCUCUUUUUGUCCAAUUUGAUCAUGACUUGAAUGGGACAGUGGACUUAGAAGAGUUCAAGUCAGAGACCAAGCAAAUGAUGCUAGUCAUGGCCAGUGGUAUGGGUUUCUUGCCUGUUCAGAUGGUACUGGAAGAAGACAGUUUCCUGAAGAAGGCUGUGGAGUGGGAAUCUGCUAAACUCGUUGCCUGAUUAAUUCCACAUCCAUUACCCUAUACAUGACUCAUUAAUUGUCUUCGUUAUUUCUUUCUUCUCCGAAUGCAUUCCGAGUUUAGCUGAAUGUAGCAAAGAAAAUAAAUGAAAUGCUCUGUUAUUGGUGCAAUUUGGUCAUGACCAUCCAGCCAUAGUUAAUAUAACAAAAGGCUGACAGAAACACAAAUAUCUUUCCUCUUUCAAGAGGGCUUCAUAAAUGGGCACAAGGAUUGAGCUGGAUCCAUCUCGGUCAUCGCUCAAAAUUUAGCUUCAAGGGAAUGGAAUUGGUAGAACAGAGUAGCAUCAGAAUGGGAAAAGAACUUGCUUGUGGAGGGAACAGAUGAAAAUUAAAGAAAUAACUGUCCUAAUAUAAAGUAUAGUUAAAUUAAAACUUCGAGUCGAAUCUGUUGUGCGUCUAAACACCUAAUUCCAUCAUGAUUUGUUUAGCAUGCGUAUGAAACAAACUUCCCGCAUUGAAAAGAGGGAAGCAUCAAGCACUUAAUAUCCUAUAUAUGCAGGAACGCUACUUGAACAAAGAACCUGGAUGGUUAAAAACAACACACUUGCAGGCUUGUAGCUCCUGAUAUUUUCAGCUCAUGUGAAGAUGGACAAUGAUGGUUGAAAAAUCUUUGUAUGUUUUAUUUGAGUAGAAUACUCAUUACAAUAUUAUCAUUUUAAAAAAAUUUGUCUUUUUCAUCUAGACAUGUUGCCCAUUAUAAUAAGACCACUCGAAAAAAAUCUUUGUGUUUCUUUACUUGGAUAGGUUAUCCAUUACUAUGAGACUACUUUGAAAAGAUCUUUGAGUUUUUUAUUUGGGUGGGUCACCCAUGACAAAUUGAACAUUUCAGAAUCUUUGAAUUCUACCAAUAGACAGGUUGUUUGGUACUACCAUAUCACUUCAAAAGUCUUUCACAAAGAUAAUCUUUUUCUUUAGAAACUCUAUCUCCUUUUCUUUCAUGUACACUUUCUAACCCUCGUUUUUUAGAAAGUGUGAUUUUUAUCCUUAUCUAUUUUUUCUCUGAGUGCGCUUUUAAGCCCUCAUUGCAAACAUUUUUCAGAAGGAUUGACCAUUUUUUAAUAUGGUGAGUCCAUAAUCUCGUUCUUUUCUUCUUCUUUACAAAGCUUAUUGUCUAAAGUCUCUCACAAGACUCUCGUUAUAAACAUUGUAAAAAGAGGGGGCAACUGUCAUAAUUCAUUUCUGGAUUAUUUUCUAAAUUCACCUUUUUUCUUUCCAAAAUAAAAGUCAAAAAAGAAAAUAAAGAAAGCAAGAAAACUAGCGACUUGGAAAAGUAGGCUGAAGAGGAUUUCAUACUGGAGAGACAAUGCAAAUUAAAUGGUUAUUGGAUGAAUCUAUUUAAAAAUUAAGCCCGGGGAUAUAAUUAGAAUUUUAAUAGGCCAAUUUGAUUUAAUCAUGGGCCAAAUUGAGAAUUUAAUUAUGUUUAAGAAUUAAUUUGGGUCCAAUUAAAGGAUUUAAUUAGGUGCAAGAACUUAAUUAUACAUUAAAUAUGUCAAAUUAAUUUUAUUAAGAGCUUAAUUGAUGAAAAUCUAAGUUUAGAAGCCCAAUUUGAGCUUAAUUGAGAAAAUUAGAAUUUUAGAAGACCAAAUUUAAUUUCCAUAAAGUCAAUUGGUUCAAAUUAGAGGUAAAAUUGCAAGAAAAUCAAUUUUUUAGGGUUAAAUUGAAGAGAUUCGCAACUAAGGAUCAUUUUGCAAAAAACAUCGAACUAUGGGGUAAUUAACGAAAAUCAGGAGUGAAAUUGAAGAAAAUUUAAAGUUUGAUGGUCAAUUGAUGGUCAAAUUGCAUAAAUCCAAGACCAAUGACCAAAUUAAAAAAGGUGCUGAAAUUCGGGGCUGAUAUUGAAUUCGGCAAGGGCAAAAUUGUAUUAAAUCAAAAGUUUGGAGUUAAUUAGAGGUCAAAUUGAAAGAAAUCAAAAGCUGAAUGAUCAAAUUGAACUUUGGAAAAAAAACCUUAAUUUAAGGUCCAAAACGGAGUUGUUUUUUAACAUUAAAAAAUAAGGCAACCAGACGACGCGUCGUCUGGUUAAUGUUCAUUGCCUUCUUUUUUUGACCUGAAAAAGUUGUCUGGAUGGCUAUUUUUCAGGGGCAUUUAAUGCUUCAUCUCUCAACCAAAUCGGACAAACCAUACACCACCAUGAUGAGCUGACAUUAUACUUCACCCCAUAGUGGAUCUCGCUGGCUAAUUGUCCUUACAGCCGCCACAGUGUCGCCUCAAAUUGGUCAACAUGACCAACCUUUAGCAACCAACUUUUUCAGGUCAUGAUAACAACUUUGAACCAAAGGUUAAGAUCCUUCUGUUUCGAAUCAAGGGCCAAGAUUGGCACCAGUAAAGACAAGAUGUUCAUCUUUCAUCCUCUAUAAAUAGAGGUGCAUUCCAUGCCCUGAGCAUCAAGAAAUUAGAGCCCAAAUUUGGUGAAAAUAAGUUUUUCUUACCAGAUCUUUUCUUCUUCUCCACCAGCCAUCUUCUUCCUCUUUUUUCGCAACAUCUUCACUUGCAGCGAUGCUGCCAACAACACAUUGGCCUUCCUAGCACUGCUAAUUAGCAAUCCCCCAUAGUUGGUAACCUUUUUCUUCCCCUUUUUUGAUGCAAACAAGGAUCCAUUUGCAAGCAUAACAUUGGUUCUGCAUGCAAAAAUCAACCACUUCACAUGGUCAUUGGGUCAGGCCAAUGACCAUGUAAAGAUGGGUUGAACCCAUUCCAACCCAGCCCAUGAUGGCUUGAUCGAGUCCAGCCCAUAAAAAAGAAAAGAUGAAGGCCAGGUCUAUUGGGCUGCCUGGCAGCAUGACCCGACCCGGCUAGGUUUGGCCCAGAUGUCUGGGUAGGGCCCAGCCCAAUAUAUAUAAUAAUAAUAUAUUAAUAAAUAAUAUUAAAAUAUUAAAAAAAUCGAAAGCCCUUCCAAAUAAUUUGUGAUUUUCUCGCAUGUUUUUUUUUUUUUAUCAAUUUUGCAUGAUAUUAGGAUGUAUAAUUAUACUAUAUGAUACAUAUCCGAUAUUAAAAUACCUAGUUUUUUCUGAAACAUUUCAAAAAAAAAUUCAAAAAUUCAAAAAAAAAUUCAAAAUUUUUAAAUUAAUUUCCUCUUUCAAAAAAACAAAAAAUAUUUUGUUUUCAUGUAUAUAGUCAAAUCCUUAAAGUUUUCCAAGCAUGUUUUCAUAAAAAAAACAAAAAAUUGUAUUUUUCUCAUGUUUUAAAAUGUAAAAUGGAUAUCAUAACUAAUUUAUGAUUAUCUGUUAGGGUUUAGCCAAAAUGUCAAAAACCCUUCACCAACUAUUUUUUUCAUUUUAUAUUAUGGUUUAAAUGUAGACUUAAAUAUUUAGGGGCGUAAAACUAUACAGUAGAGUACACCCUCAGGUAUUAAAGAUAAAAGUUCAAUAUAAAUGCAAUUCUAAAAUUUAGACUUUAGAACGGUUGGAUUCAACCUCAUAAGGUAUAGAUUUUCUCACGAAGAGAGAUAUAUAUAUAUCUUAAACCUUAGACGAUUCCAACGAAUAGAAACUUAACUUAGAAUAACAAUUAAAUAACAAUGUAGCUUACUUCAGGUAGGCUGUACUGGAGAUAAUACGCAUUUUCCUUGCACAAUCAGUCUCUUAAUCAAACUCUCACAGACCAUAGAUUUCAUAGUAACUAUUAUACUAAGUAGCGACUCUUAAAUCUUAAUUAUAAUUUUAUAGUUACAUCCAAAACUCUUUUCUUUCCUAAUAAUACCUCUCAAGAGGCACUUAAAAUGGGUCGUUUGACGUCGCCCGUGACAUAAUCCAUUAAACAUGAAAUGGAAAUAAAUAAGUAAAGAAUAUUGCAAGCAUCAAGUUGUAGAAGUCCAUCUCUGGAAAAAAAAAAAAAAGAAGAAGAACAAGAACAAGAAAAAAUUCAGUUCGAACCUUAAUUAAGUUUGUUUAAAUCUCUAUCACACCCAUUAUUUAAUGUUUGACAAACAACACAAGUAGAAUAGGUGAAAUCAAACCUAUAGUACAAUAUUUGCAUUUUUGUUGUGUUGUGAGAAAAAUAAAUAAAAAAGAACAUGGUCCGUCUCGGAAGGAGAAGGGAAAUUGACCGUUGUCGCUGCUUUUGACAGGGGGUUUGAAAUUAGCAACACCAUCUUGGGAUCUUCGAGAAAGUCAACUUUCAUUUAAUUUUCGACUUUAUACACACGGCUAGCCCACCGAAUUUUAUUAGGGGAAAACCCGUUCCCAAGUUGCCAUUGCCAUUAGAUUAAGACUUAUGGCUCGCCUGUUUAAGAUAGUUCUCAUAAUAAAAUUUUAGUGGCUGACCGACCGAUCCUCGAAGCAGCAGAUUCUGCAAAGCGUCCAAAAACCAUGCAGCAAAGGGUAAUUAGAAGCAUGUCAGAAAGCAAAAACCAAAUGGAAACUGGGUGCUAACUAUAUUUCUGACUGCUCGUCAACUGUCUGUGUGCCCCUCAUUUACGUAUAAAUGAGCACAAGACCAGCUUCUUAUUCAUCAACAUCAAAUCAGUUAUCUCGAAACCUUCUCUUUAUUUCACAGAGCACAGAACCAACUCCUGAUUCAUCAAUAUCAUAUUAGCUCUCUCUAAAGCUUCCCUUUAAUUUACGGUUUUAAACCUUCUCUAGUUCUAGUUUGUGAGUAAAUUAAGAGAGACCAAAAAUGAGUGUGGAGAUUUUGGAUGGUGCCACCAUUGUCAACUUUCUGGAGGACGAGGAAGCAUUCAGCGCGCAAAUAUGUGACCGCUUCGCCCACCUUGAUUCAGACCAUGAUGGCCGGCUUUCCUACGGGGAAAUGUUGAAGGAGCUGCAGUGUUUGAGGUUAUUGGAAACCCACUUCGGCGUAGAUGUGGAAACAGACCCGGAUGAGCUUGCUCUCGUCUAUGGUUCUCUUUUUGUCCAAUUUGAUCAUGACUUGAAUGGGACAGUGGACUUAGAAGAGUUCAAGUCAGAGACCAAGCAAAUGAUGCUAGCCAUGGCCAGUGGUAUGGGUUUCUUGCCUGUUCAGAUGGUACUGGAAGAAGACAGUUUCCUGAAGAAGGCUGUGGAGUGGGAAUCUGCUAAACUCGUUGCCUGAUUAAUUCCACAUCCAUUACCCUAUACAUGACUCAUUAAUUGUCUUCGUUAUUUCUUUCUUCUCCGAAUGCAUUCCGAGUUUAGCUGAAUGUAGCAAAGAAAAUAAAUGAAAUGCUCUGUUAUUGGUGCAAUUUGGUACCUUAAAACUUGGUUCUCUCCUAAUGCAAUUUGGUCAUGACCAUCCAGCCAUAGUUAAUAUAACAAAAGGCUGACAGAAACACGAAUAUCUUUCCUCUUUCAAGAGGGCUUCAUCAACUAAUAGAUACAUGGGCACAAGGAUUGAGCUGGAUGCAUCUCAGUCAUCGUGUGUCAGGUCCAGGGGAACAGAUGAAAAUUAAAGAAAUAACUAUCCUAAUAUAAAGUUCAGUUAAAUAAAAACUUUGAGGCGAAUAUGUGGUGCGGUUUAAUUAUAUUUUAUGCUCUAAACACAUAAAUCAAGGUAUUUGAGAGACUGGUAACAAUUACUUUUCAAAGUGUUUUUCAUUCUAAAACACAUUAAAAUAUUGUUUUUUUUUUUAAAAAAAAUUAUUUUUGAUAUCAGCAUAUCAAAAUAAUUUAUAAAUAUAAAAAAUAUAUUAAUUUAAAGCAAAAUAAAAAAUAAAUUUUUUUUAAUUUUAUUUAAAAACACUUUCAAAACAUAAUACUCAAACACUACAGUGAUCAUUAUUUGUUUAGCAUGCAUGUGAAACAAACUUCCCGCGUUGAAAAGAGGGAAGCACUUAAUAUCCUAUAUAUACAGGAACGCAACUUGAACAAAUAACCUAGAUGCUUCAAAACAACACACUUGCAGGCUUCUAGUUCCUGAAAUUUUCAGCCUCUUGUGAAGAUGUGGAUAAUGAUUGUUGAAAAAUCUUUGUAUUUUUUAUUUGAGUAAAUCACUUAUUAUAAUGAGAUUAUUUUUAAAAAAUCUUUAUCAUUUUCAUCUUAGCAGGUCACCCAUUACAAUAAAACCAGUUGAAAAAAAUCUUUGUAUUUUUUCACCAGGAUAAGUCACUCAUUAUAAUGAGAUUACUUUAAAAAGACCUUUGAGUUUUUCAUUUGGUCAUUGAACAUUUCAAAAUCUUUGAAUUCUACUAAUAGACAAGUUGCCUGAUACUACCAUAUCACUUCAAAAGUCUUUCACAAAUAUCAUCUUUUUCUUUAGAAACCCUAUCUUUUUUUCUUUCGAUUACACUUUCUAGCCCUCGUUCUUUAGAUAGUAUGCUUUUUAUCCCUAUCUAUUUUUCCUCUUAGUGCGCUUUUAAGCCCUCAUUGCAAACAUUUUUCAGAAGGAUUGACAAUUUUUUAAUAUAGUGAGUCCAUAAUCUCUUUCUUUUUCUUUUUCUUUACACAGUUUAUUGUCUAAAGUCUUGCACGAGACUUUCAUUCUAAACAUUUUGAAGAGGGGGAAAACUGUCAUAACUCAUUUCUUGGUUAUUUUCUAAAUUUACCUAUUUUCUUUUCAAAAUAAAAGUCAAAAAAGAAAAUAAAGAAAGCAAGAAAACUAGCAACUUGAAAAAGUAGGCUGAAGAGGAUUUCAAACAUAUAGAAAGAUUAAGUUGCAACUUUGGAAGCCUAAUUGUACCCCAUUUUACCCAAAAUUGGAGAGACAAUGCAAAUUCAAGGUCAAAUUAAAUGGUUAAUGGAUGAAUAUGGUUAAAAAUUAAGCCCGGGGAUAUAAUUAAAAUUUUAAUAGGCCAAUUUGAUUUAAUCAUGGGCUAAAUUGAUAAUUUAAUUAUCUUUAAGAAUUAAUUUGGAUCCAAUUAAAGGAUUUAAUUAGGUGUAAGGACUUAAUUAUACUUUAAAUGGGUCAAAUUAAUUUUAUUAGGGGCUUAAUUGGUGAAAAUCUAAGUUUGAAAGCCUAAUUUGGACAUAAUUGAAAAAAUUAAAAUUUUAGGAGAUCAAAUUUAAUUUUUAUAAAGUGAAGUGGUUCAAAUUAGGGGUAAAAUCGCAAGAAAAUCAAACUUUUGGGGUCAAUUAAGGGUUAAAUUGAAGAGAUUUGCAACUAUGGACCAUUUUGCAAAAAACAUUGAACUAAGGGGUAAUUGAUGAAAAUCAGGGGUGAAAUUGAAGAAAAUUUAAAGUUUAAUGGUCAAUUGAUGGUCAAAUUGCAUAAAUCCAAGACCAAGGAUCAAAUUGAAAGGACAAUGAAAUUCAGGGUUGAUAUUGAAAUUCGGCAAGGGCAAAAUUCCAUUAAAUAAAAAAUUUGGAGUCAAUUAGGGGUCAAAUUGAAAGAAAUCAAAAGCUGAAGGACCAAAUUGAACUUUGAAAAAAACCCUAAUUUAAAGUCAUGGAGUUGUUUUUUAACAGUAAAAAAAAAAAGGCAACUAGACGACGCAUUGUCCAGUUACUGUUCAUUGUCUUCUUCUUUUGACCCGAAAAAGUUGUCCGGGUGGCUAUUUUCCAAGGACAUUUAAUGCUUCAUUUCUCAACCAAACCAGACAAACCAUAUACCACCAUGAUGAGCUGACAUUAUACUUCACCCUAUAGUAGAUCUCGCCAGCCAAUUGUCCUUGCAGCCGCCCCAAAUUGGCCAACCUGACCAGCCUUUAGCAACCAACUUUUUCAGGUCAUGAUAGCAACUUUGAACCAAUGGUUGAGAUCUUUCUGUGUUGAAUCAAGGGCCAAGAUUUGACACCAGUAAAGACAAGAUAUCCAUCUUCCAUCUUCUAUAAAUAGAGGUGGAUUCCAUGCCCUGAGCAUCAAGAAAUCAGAGCCCAAAUUUGGUGAAAAUCAGUUUUUCUUACCAAAUCUUUUCUUCUUCUCCACCAUACAUCUUCUUCAUCCUCUUUCGCAACGUCUUUGUCAUCAGCAACGGUGACAACAACACGUCGGCCUUCCUAGCACUGCUAACUAGCAAUCCCCCAUAGUUGGUAACCUUUUUCCUCCCUCUUUUAGAUGCAAAUGGGGUAGCCAUUUGCAUGCAGAACCAAUGUUGGUUCUGCAUGCAAAAAUUAACCACCUCACAUGGUCAUUUGGUCAUUGGGCUGGGCCAAUGACCAUGUGAAGAUGGGUUGGACCCAUUCCAACCUAACCCAUGAUGGCUUGGUCAGGUCGAGCCUAUAAAAAAAGGAUAAAGGCCAGGUCUAUUGGGUUGCCUACCCAACCGGGUUGGGUUCGGCCCAAAUGGCUGGGUCGGGCCCAGCCCAAUAUAUAUAAUAAUAAUAUAUUGAUAAAUAAUAAUAUUAAAAAAACAAAAAAAAUUCCAAAAAAAUUUCAAAAGCCCUUUAAAAAAAAUUGUGAUUUUCUCGCAUGUUUUUCUAUCAAUUUUGGAUUGUAAAAUUACAAUAUAUGAUACAGAUCCGAUAUUAAAAUACCCAGUUCUUUCUGAAACAUUUCAAAAAAAUUCAAAAAUUCAAAAAAAUUUAAAUUAAUUUCUUUUUUCAAAAUUCCAAAAAAAAUUUCAAAAGCCCUUUCUUUUCAUGUAUAUGGCCAGAUCCUCAAAGUUUUCCAAGCAUGUUUUCAUAAAAAGCAAAAAAUUGUAUUUUUCUCAUAUUUUAAAAUGUAAAAUGGAUAUCAUAACUAGUUUAUGAUUAUUUGUUACGGUUUGGUCAAAAUAUCAAAAACCCUUCACCAAUUAUUUUUUUUUCAUUUUAUAUUACGGUUUAGAUAUAGACUUUAAUAUUUGGGGGCGUAAAAUUAUACAGCUGAGUAUACCCUCAUGUAUUAAAAAUAAAGGUUCAAUAUAAAUGCGAUACUAAAAUUUAGACUUUAGAAAAGUUAGGAUUCAACCUCAUAAGGUAUAGAUUUCCUCACAAAGGCAAAUCAACCUUAAACCUUAGACUAUUCCAACGAAUAUAAACUUAACUUAGAAUAACAAUCAAACAAGAAUUCAGCUUAUUUCAGGUAGAGUACACUGGGAAUAAUGUGUAUUUUCUUUGCACAAUUAGUCCCUUACUUAGACUCUCACAGACCAUAGAUUUUCUAGUAAUCAUAAUAUUAAGUGGCGACUCCUAAACUUAAUUGUGAUUUUAUAAUUAAACUUAAAACAUUUUUUUUCCUAAUAAUAACUCUCAAGAGACACUUAAAACAAGUCGUUUCACGUUGUUCCGUGACAUAAUCCAUUAAACAUGAAAUGGUAAUAAAUAAGUAAAGAAUAUUGCAAUCAUCAAGUUCUAAAAGUCCAUCUCUGGAAAAAAAAACAAGAAGAAAAAAUUCAGUUCGAACCUUAAUUAAGUUUGUUUAAGGCCAUGUUUGUUUCCCGGAAUUCACUUUCCGGGAAAUUACUUUCCAAACUUUCCUGUGUUUGUUUGCCAUUAGAAAAGUUGGUCAACGGAAAACACUUUUCGGUCAACGGAAAACACUUUUCAGUCAACGGAAAUACUUUCCGGUCAACGGAAAACACUUUCCAGUCAAAGAAAAAUUUGGUUUGGUUUCCAGGAAAAUGUUUUCCCUUUUGGCUGUGUUUGUUUUCCGGAAAAUGGUUUCCGGGAAACCACUUUCCAAACUUUCCUGUGUUUUUUUGCCAUUAGAAAAGUUGGUCAACGAAAAGCACUUUCCAGUCAAAGGAAAAUUUGGCUUGGUUUUCAGGAAAGUGUUUUCCUGGAAAAUUUGGGCGGAAAACACUUUCCGGAAGUUGUGAAAAAUUUAGAAAUGUCAUUAUUUGCUGAUUAUAUCAAAUUUGAUCCUCAAACUUUUGAUUGCUAUAUAUAAUUUGUUUUGAAUAUUUAUUUUUCAAUUCCAUCUCUUAAAAUUUAAUUUUUAUAUUAAUUUUGGUCCUUAUUUUUAUAAUUGUUAUUUUCUUUUUUCUUAUCAUUUUUUUAUUGAAAUUUUUUAUUUAUCAAAUUUGAUCCUUAUUUUUUUUAUUGUUACUUUUUUUAUUUGAAAUAAUUUAUGAAAUGUUAAUUAUUAUUAUUUUAAUUUAUUCACCUUUUAUUUUUUUUUAAUUUUUUAGAUUUGAUCUCUAUUAUUUUGAUUAUUAUUUAUUUUAUUUGAGAUAAUUUAUGAAAUUAUAUUUUUUUUCAAUUUCAUUCUCAUUCAACUUUUUACUUUGUAAGAUUUGUUCCUCAUUAUUUUAAUAAACUUGAGAAUAAAACAUUAAUAAGUUAUUUUCCAGCUCAUUUUCCAUUACAUAACCAAACACUGGAAAAUGUUUUCCAACUUAUUUUUCAUUACACUACCAAAUAUCGAAAAAUACUUUUCCGGAAUUCACUUUCCAAAAGAAAACUACUUUCCAGCAAACAAACGGGACCUAAAUCUCUAAGAAGUUCUAAAAGUCCAUCUUUGAAAAAUAAAAAAUUCAGUUCGAACCUUAAUUAAGUUGGUUUAAAUCUCUAAGGCAACUAUAUGCCCAUUAUUUAAUGUUUGACAAACAACACAUGUAGAAUAGGUGAAAUCAAACAUAUAGUACGAUAUUUAAUUAUUGUGGGAAAAAAUAAAUAAAAAGAGAACAUGGUCUAUCUCGGAAGGAGAAGGGAAAUUGACCGCUGUCGGUGUUUUUGACGGGGGGUUUUCAAAUUUAGCAACACCAUUUUGCGACCAUCGAGUAAGUCAAGUUUCAUUUAAUUUUCGACUUUAUAAACACGGCUAGCCCACCGAAUUUUAUUAGGGGAAAAGCCCGUUCCCAAGUUGCCAUUGCCAUUAGACUAUGACUGAUGGCUCGCCUGUUUAAGAUGGUUCUAAUAAUAUUUUUUUAGUGGCUGACCGACCGAUCCUCGAAGCAGUAGAUUCUGCAAAGCGUCCAAAAACCAUGUAGCAAAGGGUAAUUAGAAGCAUGUCAGAAAAGCAAAAACCAAAUGGAAACCGGGUGCUAACUAUAUUUCUGACUGCUCGCCAACUGUCUGUGUGCCCCUCAUUUACAAACUUCCCGCAUUGGAUCACAAAAACAAUGACAUCUCAGGAGAUGGAAUGAAGGAGAGAAUGCUUUCGCCAAACAGCUCAAACAGGGAUACCAGAAGACGCCCAGUAUUCAAGUCAUCGUUCCAAACCUGUUGAGAAUGUGAUGCGGAAAAAUAAAUAAAAAGAAUUAAAGCAAUACAGAACCAAAUUUUAAAGAAAAAAGUUAAAAAUUAAAAGUAAAGAAAGGAAAAAGAAAAGGAAGAAGAGAGAAUUCAGGAACAAAAGUUUGUCAUUUCUAUUUAAUCAUAAAAACCUCUCUCAAACUGAAAGAAAAAUAUAAAAAUAAUAUAACCCUAAAACAUCCAACUAUUAGGCUUAACCAUCAAUUAAAAUUGUCUAAUAUAAAUUACUCAAAUAAAUAAAAUAAAAUAAUGACAUAGGUCCAAAAGGGUCCAGGCUGGGCUAUCCUACGUCAUUUUUGUUCAUAUACUUGUGUAAUCUGCAGUGUGGGUCUAGUGUCCCCACCAACUCUCCGGGGUUGGAAAAAAUCGACCCUGUUGAGUGUAGUUCUGGAUGGCCCUGAUAGCACUCCUAAAGAUUUGAAUCAAUCUACUGCAAAGUCUCUCUGGUGAUCGAAGUGCAAUCUAAAUCAGGUCAGCCCUCCCAAUGAACUAGAAACCGUCAAACCACACAAUUCAUGGUAAAAAUAACUUGCUCAUCUAGAAUAGCAUCAAUAUUAUCUUUUUGUGUUGAGAUCAGGUGAAAGAAGUAGAGGAUUCAAUAGGAUCAUCAAGAGGGGAGUUAGGUGACAUCUCAAAGAGGUCGUUUAGAAUAGAAUGUGGUUUUUGAUAUGCAAUUAAAUCAUCAAUAUUAAAUGUAGAGCUAAUGCCAAAAUCAAGCGGUAAAUCAAGAACAUAAGCAUUUGAACCCACCCGUUAUAGCAUUUUGAAUGGCCCCGCAUUACGUGCAUGCAAUUUUCGAUUAAUUUCGUAAGGAAACCAUUCAUAUCUAAUAUAUAUCAUACAAUAGUUUCUCACUUUAAAUUCAUUAUAUGAUCUAUGUAAAUCAGUUCAAAAUUUAUAUUGUGCAUUACUUGCUUUAAUAUGCUUAAUGAUCUCAACAUGCAAAUACCUCUUAAAGCAAAAUAUUACCAAAGCUUUUCCGUUAAAGCAAACCCCGAAUAUGAAUUGAUAUCACAAGCCACCCUUAGACGAAUAAAACAGUCUAGUUUUUAGCCACACUAACAUUGUUUUCCCAAAAAGUUGCAAAAGGCAUGUUUGAUUUGUUUCAAAUCAGGUUUUGCAAAAAAAUAAUAAUUAAGUCAUCAACAAAUAAGGAUGAUAACUUCACCCGACCAGUUUGGAAUCCAAUGUCAUUUAAGUUGAUUAGAUUGUAUUUUUGUCCAUUUGAAAAACAAAUAAAAUUCAAUUCAAUUUAACUAAAGAUGGAUGUGGAGGUCAAUAAAUGGUUGACUUGACCCAUCACUUGACUCAACUUCUACGUGGUUUUUUUAACCCUUUUAUAUUUUAUAGAAUUGUAAUUUAUUUUUCAAUAUAGUAUAUGGAUUUUUAUCUUAUUAUUCACCUAGCAUUAUUAUGGUUUUACAUGUAGAUGCAAAGUUUAGAUUCUAUUUUAUUGUUUUAUGAUUUAUGGAUGGAUAUAUAAUUUUUUUAAGCUUUAAUUUAAUUUUUUAAAAUUUUAUUAAAAAUAGAACAACCAGAUCAAAUGAAGUACUAAGUGGGUACUUGCCAAAUGAAGAAAGUCUUUCAUCGAAUCCAAUCCAAUUGUAUAGAAGAUAAAGUCAAGUGCUAGAUUUAAAAAUUUCUAGGUGGAGAUGGGAGAGAAAAAUUCAUCGUCAACUCAAUCUAUUAUCGUCCCUGUAAAUAAAGAAAGGAAGAGAAAUAAUCAAACCCUCUUUACUGAAAUAGACAAAUUCACUUUGUAGUCUCUACCAUUGGAUCAAUCUUUCCAUAUAUGAAACAAAGAUAUAAGAAUAAAGGAUCUCCAUGAUAAAUACCAUGUGAUGGAGCAUAGGAAUUUGAAAUCUUACCUUUUCAGCUCACUUAUAACAAGGUCAUUAAGAUACACUUUAUGAUCAAGGAAGUGAAACUAUCCAAACUCCCUGAUAGCAUCCAGGAUAAAGUCCUAUCUAAAAUAAUCAUAAACCUUUUUUAGGUCUACCUUAAUCAUCAUUAGAUAUUUUUUAAUUUUCUUUUUUGCAUGUAGAGUUAAGAGUCAAUCAGACAAUCAUAGUGGUAUUACUAUGCUUCUUAGAAACAAAUCAGUGGUACCAACUAGCCAAUAUGUGCUCCUCAUUUAGAAAGCAUACCUUGUUUAAAAUUAGUUGAAAGUCAUACCUUGUUUUCUCUAUAAGUGGCAUGUUGAUGAUAACUAUGUCACAUUUAGAAAGUAUUGAAUUUAGAUCCUCCUCAAACUUUGCCCCUGUCUGAUUCUCUAACUCUGUCUCCAUCUUAAGUCUAUUAUGAUACAGUAGAGUGCAAUUGAAAGGCUUCAAACGUUGGAGUAAAAGCAUUCCGAUGCGUUCAGCACUAAAAGUUCCCACUUUCUUUUCUUCAAGAUCAUAAGCCUUAUAGUCAAUUGCUGCCACAUUCCACUCCUCAUUGAUAACUUGAUGAUAUCCAGGUAAGAAAUUUCUUACAAGAGUAAGGAUUCUCAUGAGCUCAUCUUCUACAACUAAGACAACAUUGCUUCCAAUGACCUCUGCAACAGUUAACCCAGCAGCAGCCGCUGCCUUCAAAUCUAUAUGAUCAGAACCAAUUCCAGCAAUGAGAAGCAGUUGCAUGUUUUUUUGCCCUCUGGAUCCUUUCUACCGUAACAUACGCAAGGUAGAAAAGUGUAGUGAUGAGAACCAAUUCCAAUAAGGAGAAGCAUGCAGUUGCAGGUUUUUUAUCCUCUUAAUCCUUUCUGUCGUAACAUAUGCAGGGUGGAAAGGUGUAGUGAUGAGUGUUAAGUAAUAUUUAUCUAGUUUUAUUUAUUAAGGGUAAAAUAGUAUUUUCAGUUUAACCUAUAUAUAAUUCCUUUGUAUUUAGGUUAACUUAAGCACUCAUAAUAAACAUAUUAUUGAGAAUUCUAGCCUCCUUUUAUGUUUGAUCUGAAUUACUUUAACAUGGUAUCAGAGCCUAGUUGAUCGAACCCUUGGCUUGUUAAUUUUAUGGAACUCGCUGCCCUUGUAGAAAUCAUGUUCACCAAUCUCAAAGCCACUGCUCGUAUCAAAAUCGUUAUCAUCAUCCACUUCAUUCCCUGUAGGAUGUUCCAGCACGCUCAAUGCAUUCCUUUGAAGCUUAACCUCAGAUCCAUUUUUCAAAACAUCAGACAUGGGUUGUUUGACCUAUUAAAAGAUGGAGGAUGAAGAUCAGGUUUUAUGCUUGCGGCUGAAGAAUUAAUAUCUGAAACUUUAUUUUAGAUUCUUCAGCUUCUGCAAUUUGGUAUUUUUGUUCUGUCUCUGCAAUUGUUUUGGUAUUUCGUCUUCUCUUUGGUUUCUGCAAUUUGGUAUCAGCUUCUGCAAUUUGGUAUUUCUGUUCUGUCUCUGCAAUUGUUUUGGUAUUUUGUCUUCUCUUCGGUUUAUGCAAUUUGGUACUUCUGUUCUGUCUCUGCAAUUGUUUUCGGUAUUUCGUCUUCUCUUCGGUUUCUGCAAUUUGGUAUUUGAGUUAAGUUUCUGCAAAAAAUAAAAUAAAAUUGGAGUGAUAUUUUGUCUUCUGCUUCUGCAAAAUCUGGUAUUUCGACUUUCCUUCAACUUCUGCAAUUUGGUAUUUCUGUUCUAUCUCUGCAAUUGUUUUGGUAUUUCUUCUUCUCUUCAGUUUCUGCAAUUUGGUAUUUGUGUUCAGUUUCUGCAAAAACAUAAAAAUAAAAAAUUUGGAGUGAUAUUUUGUCUUCCGCUUCUGCAAAAUCUGGUAUUUCGACUUUCCUUCAGCUUCUGUCAUGGCAUUUACUACCAAAGAGAUUGUUUGGUUAAGUUGGUUACUUGCUGAUAUGAGAGUUUUCUUUUCUCAUCCUACUCCUAUGAAUUGUGACAACCAGAGUUCUAUUCAGAUUGCUCACAACUCGGUUUUUAUGAGCGAACUAAGCACAUUGAGAUCGAUUGUCAUUUUACUCGUCAUCAUCUCAAGCAUGGCACCAUUACUUUGCCUUUUGUUCAUUCUUCCUUGCAGAUUGCAGAUUUCUUUACCAAGACGCAUUCCAUAUCUCGUUUUUGUUUUCUAGUAAGCAAACUCUCGAUGCUUGUAGAUGUCGCAUCGUGAGUUUGAGGGGAGAUGUUAAGUAAUAUUUAUCUAGUUUUAUUUAUUAAGGGUAAAAUAGUAUUUUCAGUUUAACCUAUAUAUAAUUCCUUUGUAUUUAGGUUAACUUAAACACUCAUAAUAAACAUAUUAUUGAGAAUUCUGGCCUCCUUUUAUGUUUGAUCUGAAUUACUUUAACAAUGAGGACAUGGAGAUCAUGAAUAUGCUUGUCAAGUUCUGUGACAAUUACACAGUCGAAGAGCAAAAAAUCAACAAACUAGCCAUCCUAAUAUUCUUGGAAAUAAAAGACACGAACUAAACAUCUUGACAUCAUUUAAUGCCAUCACUACAUUAGGCUCUAAUGUUUAACUGGGAUUAGUGGAGGAUUGGUACGUGAGUUGAUGACUCCGCCUUCCAUAAGCCAAAUACUUGUUUUCAUUGAAAAGAGGGAAACACUUAAUAUCUUCACUUUGACUCCUCAAAUUCCUUGUUGAAAUAACACUAACAUCAUUGUCACCAUCAUCAUCAUUCAGAAGUUUUGGCUCAUCACUAGGCAUCUUCAUGUAAGCAAUAUAUAUAUAAAGGGAGGGAGGGAGGGAAAGGGACGAGGGACAAGAGACAAGGGACAAGGGGGUCCAUUGGUCUAGUCCAUCACUGCUCUCCACAACUUGAUUUUUCACAGUGGAUUGUUUGAUAAUAAACUCAAUUCCAACACAACAACUCUUUUUGUAUGGAAGCAGUGAAUAAGGAAAAAAGCAAUACUCGAGAGUGAAAAUUUAUAACGUGAAAAUUGAUUAGAAAAUAGAAUUGCUUUGCUUACAUGGAGAUGCCUAGUUGAUGAGCCGAAACUCCUGAAUGGCAAUGAUGGUGACAACGACGAAAAGGUGUGGAUUGCAUAGGUAUCAUCACGAUUCAUAGCCAUUGUUAGUUUUAUUUCAACUGAGAGUUUAAGGUGUGAAAGUGAAGACAUAUAUAUAUAUAUAUAUAGGGAGGGAGGGAGGGAGGGAAGAGAAAGGGAGGGAGAGGGACAAGGGGGUUCGUUGGUCUGGUCCAUCACUACUCUCCAAAGCUUAAUUUUUCACAGUGGUUUGUUUGAUAAUAAACUCAAUUCCAACACAACAACUCUAUUUGUAUGGAAGUAGUGAAUAAGGAAAAAAGUAGUAAUCAAUAGUGAAAAUUUAUAACAUGAAAAGUGAUUAGAAAAUAGAAUUGCUUUGUUUACAUGUAAAUGCCUAGUUGAUGAGCCGAAACUCCUAAAUGACGAUGAUGGUGACAACGAUGAAAAGGCGCGGAGUGCAGAGGUAGCAACACACUUCAUAACCAUUGUUAGUGCUAUUUCAACUUAGAGUUUCAGGUGUCAAAGUGAAGAUAUAUAUAUAUAUAUAUAUAUAUAUAUAUAUAUAUAUAUAGAGAGAGAGAGAGAGAGAGAGAGGGAGGGAGGGACAAGGGGUCUGUUGGAUCACUGCUCUUUAAAACUUAAUUUUUCACAUUGGUUUGUUUGAUAAUAAACUCAAUUCCAACGCAACAAUUCUAUUUAUAUUUGUAUUUAUAAAUUCCAUGUAUGUAUUAUUGAUAGCAUGGAAAAGUUUAUCUUCUCUUUUUGUCACUUUCCUUUUGACUUCUUCGAGAGUGUUGGCUUUUUUUUUUAUAUAUAUGCAAUUGCACUUCAAAUAAUUUUCCCUUUGCAACAUUGAUUUUUACUUGGUUUUUUGCCUUCUUUCAAAAAAUAACAAACUUAAUAUUUUUUUAUAUUUUAAAAAAACUUUGAAAAUACAUUAAUUAACUACUAAAAAUGUGUAUAAAGAACAAAUCGCAUAGAAAAAUACUAGAUUUGUUUUUCGAGUGCUACGCUGCAAGUCAAGUAAAAAAUUCUCUAACGUAAAAAAAUAUAUCUAAGCGAUGAUAACUUGAGUCAACCUGGGUUAAGUUGACGAACAUGUGGGAUAUGAAAUCAGGAUACCUUGUAGAAUGGCAAGUGAAAAAACAACAAAACUCAAGGCCCAAUAACCUAAUUUUAAAUGAUGAAAUUUAAAAAAAAAAUCAAUUUUAAAAAAAACAACGAAGAAAAAAACUGUGUCAACAUGAAUUAACUCUACUAGCCUGCCACCUGUGAAAUGAGACCUAGAUUAAAAAUUAUUUAAAAAAAAUGACCUAGAAAAAAGGAUCGAAGUUAAAUAAAUAUAAAAACAUUGAAAAAAAACAUAAGUCAUCCUAGGUUAACUUAACUAACCCGUGGCCUGGGAUAACCUCAUUGAAAGGAAAAAUAUAAAAAAUAAGAAAGUUCAAGACCCAAUAAUCUAAUGUCAAAGGAUAAAAUUGAAAAAAUAAAUAAAAACAACCCAGUUAACUUGACUAAUGACAUGAUCAAAAAGUUGAUGUCUUAUCCCAAGUGCAGGAGUGUCGAAGUAAUAAAUAACCCAGUAAGACCGAGGUCGAACCACAGGGAGGUGAACUAUAUAAAUUACAAAUAAUAUAUAUAUUUAAUAAAACAAAGAGUUUAUGAGAAUUUUAUGGUAUAUUGAUGUAAGGAUUAAACAAGGAUAAAACAAUUGUCAAGGUUAGAGGAUCCACUAAUGGUAUUUCAAAUAAGUAUAAUAUAAACUCUUUUUAUUAUUCAACUAGAAACCAUACACAAAGGAGGUUACAAUCGGAUUAUAAUUUAUUAACAUGAUUAUAUUAAUUAUCUUAUUUGAGUAAUGUCAAUACUUGUAAAUGUUGUCAGGUAUGCAUGGUGAUAACUUAUGUUAACAACAAAUCAAGUUCCUUUCAUAGCACAUGUGUCGGUUAUAUCAUACAGUUGGGCUAUGAAAGUGUCAAGUAUUUGUUGUACCAAGGGUUGUUCAACACAAAUCUAGAUUAACCACAUAACAAGCAAGGUAUUAAGAGUAAGUAAGAUAAUAAAUACAAAACAUGUUAGUAUCAAACAUUAAAGUCCAUGUUGAGUUUAUACUAUACUUAUUCUUAUACCAUUAGUGUAACCUUUUCACCUUAACAUAAUAAACUUAGCUGAACAUUAUGAAUAAGAGAAACAUAGAUAAACAAGAUAAGAACAUAAUUAUAUAAGUAUAGUAAAGGAAAUGAAAAGCAUAAACAAGAGAUUAAGAAAAAUAUAAUAUGGAAUAAAACUUGAACAUUACAAAAUAUAAAGAAAAAGAGUAAGAGCAAGAGCAAGAUCUUGAUCUGAACAACCAAGAUGCCUAAAUUCAUGGCAAAUGCCUCAUUUUAUAGGCCAAAAUUCAGAAUUAUUGAUUUGAUGAUUAAUUGUUGUGUGGGUGGCUACCUCUUGACUUGGUAACAAUCCUUAUCUUCUUGUCUGAGAAAACGUCAUUGCUAACAUCAGAAUUUGAAUAGAUAGUCCUCAUGAAAGUUUUGGGCAAUUGUCUCAGCUUUCCAAAAAAACAAGAAUGAGGUCAUUUGGACUUCUAGAACUCGAGAUAUGGGCUGAACACUAAACAGUGUCUGGUCUGCAGAACAGAUUCUGACUUCUUUGUUGUUGCUACAAUUUGAACUUGAAAACGGUCAUUUUGAAUCUUAAACUCUCAUGAAAGUUUUAGGCCUAUGUCUUAGCUUUCUAUCCAUAUAAACCAGACCUAAAUUCAAGUUCUACAACUCCAGUUAUGAUUCAAUAACCGAAUGGUGUUUCAAUUUGAAUUCAACUAGCAUCUAUUUUCUAAGCUUAGCCCUCUCUUUAUCUUCUCAAUUUCAGUAGUUAAACUCAUCAAUCAAUCCUUUGAUUUAUGUGAUAGGCCUGCAUUUAAAAUGAACAUUUAUCAUAAAUUAAAUGUAUCUUAUAUUAUCAGACUUGUUAUUAUAAAACAUGCUCUAGUUAAGGAGUUAUUGAUACUUCAAGUGCAAAAUAAUGAUAUAAAACCUUGAUAAAAAUACACUUUUAAGUACUAAUCAACUAACUCGAGACCUAGGAUAACCCAAUAAAUUAAGGAAAUGAUAAAAAAAAAAAGCAAUUAAAAGAACGAAAACCAAAAUUGAAUAUAAAUAAAUAAAAUCAAAUGUUAAGGGACAAAAUUGAAAAAACAAACAAAUUAAGAAAAUAAUAAAAAAAAACAAUUAAAAGAAUGAGGACCAAAAUCAGAUAAAAAAAUAAGUGAAGUAAAAUGUUGAGGGAUAAAUUUGAAAAAAAAAAAUCAAGAAAAUGAUUAAAAAAGCAGUAUUUAAAAGAAUGAGUAUUGUAUUUAAUAUAAAAAUUAAAUAAAACGAUAAAAUUAAAUAAAAUGAUAUGAAAAGGGAUGAAACUAGAAAAACAAAAGUAUCCAAAACAAAUAUAGACCAAUCAAAAAAGAAGGACCACAAUUAUAAAAAAAAAAUAGAAGGACAUCUCUGAAUUUUUACUUACAUAACAUGUAUUCCAAGGAGAAAAGAGAAAAAAAAUUGGGGGAAAUCCCACCAGUAUCGAACCACCAUGAAUUGCACUUCUUGCACCUUCACAUCAAUUGUUCUGUCACUGGAUGGUUUGGAUGACAUGGUACUUGGUCCCUUUUUACUAUUGUAAAACGUUGCAAGUGCUGCCCCAAGGACGAUGACAAUGUUCAGUUGUUGGUACAUGUUAUGCUAUGCACACGUAAGUUACUUUUUAUUUUUUAUUAUUACUUUUUUAUUAAAAGACUGAUUUACCCUUAAUUCAAAUAGAUUAUAACAAAAAUAACAUUAAAAAUACCAUAAUACCCCUUGACCACUUUUUUAGUUUUUUUACUUAAGGAAAAUAAAGAAAAUUUACUAUUUUUAAAUUUAUGUUUUUGUUGACUUUUUAAGGGGAUUUAUGUCAUUUAAUUGUGUAAAAAAAGUUGAUAGACCAUUAUACCCCCAAUCAGUUUUAUAAUACCAAAUGAAUUGCCUGGAAAGAUCAUUUUACCCAACAAAAAGGCCAUUUGAUUUUUGUAAUGGAAGGCAAAGACAUCAUUAGCCCUAUAAUAAAAGAUUGAUGGUGUUUAGUUUUUUUUUUAAAAAAUUUAUAAACAAAUAUUUUAUACUAUAGAUAAUUGCUUAAGUUUUAAAAUAUAUCAUAGAACUUAUAUAAACAAGUUUUAUAAUUUUUUCCUUCAUUAUAUUCUAUUAUUUAUAUUCCAAUGAUUAAUUUAUAAGAAAUAAAUUUAAGCUUGGCUGGCUGGCUUAGAAGUAUCAAGAAACUUUAACGAGCUCAACUUACUAGUGAAAUUUGAUCAUACCAAAACUCGGCUUAGGCCCUACAAAAAAAAAAUUGAUUACUAGUGAAAUCUCUUGCUAACAUAUUUUAUUAAGUUUUCAAUUGUGAUUAUUUAUUAAUAUUUUAAGUACUUAAAAGCUACUUUAGAGAUUGGUGGUAAGUGACUCACUACGAGCUAGACUUUUUUUUUUCAGCACAAAAAAAAUAUUUAAAUGACGACAAUAUUUCUAAAGAAACAAAAGAAAUAUGAGUCAAGUUAAUGACCUUUUUACCUUAAAAAGGUACUAUAACUCUAUACUAUAGUGAUUGUUCACUAGAAUAGUAUAAUAAUAUUUUUACUUCUCCACCUAAAAAACUUAAUAUUAGCUUUCAAACAUAUUAAAAUCUUUUAAAAUUUAAUGGAGAAUAAUGAAUUUUUUAUCAUUUAGCACAGUAAAACAACCAAAAUACCAUUGUAAGUAAAAAAAAUUAAACUUGGCAUAAAGGAGAAAUUUUAUUUUUUUUCAUAAUGAUUUUUAGUUAUUAUAAUAUCAGCAAUAAAAUAAAAAAUAUAAAAAAUAAUAAACAAUUAAAAUACACAGUGUGUCAAUGAAAAUACUAUUAAUAGAAAAACAAUUUAAACCUAGAAUUAAAGGGCUUCUUGGUCUUGGCCCUUUUACAGAAGUUUUAUUUGUUUUCAAUUGCAUCCUUCAAUCUUAAUUUGUCAAAUAUUAUAUUCUCCAAUUUGGUUCUCAAUCUUUGAGUUUCAAAUGUUUUUACCUUGAACCUUUUGUAUAAGUUUUAUUGGUUUUUAAUUUUAUCAUUCAAUUCAAAUUAAUGGUAUUAUGUUUUCCAAUAUGGUCCUUAUUGUUUUGAUUUCUAAUUUUUCUUCUUGAUUUUUUGUAAAAUUUAUUAUUUUUUUCAAUUUCACCAUUCAAUCAGAACAUUCUUUUGAUUUUUUAAAUCAAUUUUUAUUCUUUGUUUUUGGAUUUUUUUGUCCUUUCAUUAAAUUAAUUUUUAUUUUCAAUCUCACUCUUCAAUCAAAUAUAAAAUUUAUUUUAUAUUUUAAUUUUGAUCCUUAUUCUUUUUAAUUUUAAUUUUUUUUAAUCCUUUUGUAUAAAAAAAUGGUUUAUAUAAAUAAGUACAUAGGAUAAUUUUAAUAAAUGAUUAAGUAAUCUAUUAAACAUGACAUGUAAAUAAAUAAGUAAAGAAUAUUGCAAGCAUCAAGUUCUAAAAGUCCAUCUUUGAAAAAAAGAAAAAACUCAGUUCUAUCCUUAAAGUUUGUUUAAAUCUCUAAUAGAACUAUAUGCCCAAUAUUUAUGUUAAAAAAAUAAAAAACAUUUUGACAAACAAUACAAGUAGAAUAGGUAAAAUCAAACCGAAAGUACCAUAUUUUCAUUUUUGUUGUGUAUUGCGGAAAAAAAAGAAGAAGAAAAAGAACAUACACACGGGGCUUGUAGCUCAGUGGUCUUGGCAGGCUUUGCCCUGCCUGAGUGUCCUGGUUCGAGCUCUCGUGUGUACCCAGCACUUGAGGGUCUAGCUGCUGUGGUCCAUCGUGGACUUGUUCCGCCCUCCCUCCCGGGUUGGACCCUCUAUGUGCACGCCUGUCACCCCCGCGGUGCCUUACCUGCUCCUGGGCUUGCAGGAUGUCCAGUGGGCCGUGGGGAAUAAUCGUGGUGCGCGUAAGCUGGCCCGGACACCCCACGUGAAUCAAAAAAAAAAAAAAAAAAGAACAUGGUCGGUCCGUCUACAAGGAGAAGUCAACUUUCAUUUGAUUUUCGACUUUAUAAACACGGCUAGCCCACCGAAUUUUAUUAGGGGAAAAGCCCGUUCCCAAGUUGCCAUUGCCAUUAGAUUCUGACUGAUGGCUCACCUGUUUAAUAAUUUUUUAGUGGCUGACGGACCCAUCCUCGAAGCAGCGGAUUAUGCAAAGAGUCAAAUAACUGGGUGCUCACUAUAUUUCUGAGUGCCCCUCACGUCAACUGUCUGUGUGCCCCUCAUAUACGUAUAAAUGAGCACAAGACCAACUUCUUAUUCAUCAACAUCAAAUUAGUUCUCUCUAAAGCUUCCCUUUAAUUUACGGUUUUAAACCUUCUCUAGUUCUAGUUUGUGAGUAAAUUGCGAGAGACCAAAAAUGAGUGUGGAGAUUUUGGAUGGUGCCACCAUUGUCAACUUUCUAGAGGACGAGGAAGCAUUCAACGCGCAAAUAUGUGACCGCUUCGCCCACCUUGAUUCAGACCAUGAUGGCCGGCUUUCCUACGGGGAAAUGUUGAAGGAGCUGCAGUGUUUGAGGUUAUUGGAAACCCACUUCGGCGUGGAUGUGGAAACAGACCCGGAUGAGCUUGCUCUCGUCUAUGAUUCUCUUUUUGUCCAAUUUGAUCAUGACUUGAAUGGGACAGUGGACUUGGAAGAGUUCAAGUCAGAGACCAAGCAAAUGAUGCUAGCCAUGGCCAGUGGUAUGGGUUUCUUGCCUGUUCAGAUGGUCCUGGAAGAAGACAGUUUCCUGAAGAAGGCUGUGGAGUGGGAAUCUGCUAAACUCGUUGCCUGAUUAAUUUCACAUCCAUUACCCUAUACAUGACUCAUUAAUUGUCUUUGUUAUUUCUUUCUUCUCCGAAUGCAUUCCAAGUUUAGCUGAAUGUAGCAAAGAAAAUAAAUGAAAUGCUCUGUUAUUGGUGAAGGUGCAAUUUGGUAUCUUAAAACUUGGUUCUCUCCUCAUGCAAUUUGGUCAUGACCAUCCAGCCAUAGUUAAUAUAACAAAAGGGAAUGGAAUUGGUAGAACAGAGUUGAAUCAAAAUGGGAAAAGAACUUGCGUGUGUCACGUCCAGGGGAACAGAUAAAAAUUAAAGAAAUACUGUCCUAAUAUAAAGUCCAGUUAAAUAAAAACUUGCAGGCGAAUCUGCCGUGCAAUUUAACUAGAUUUUGCGCUCUAAACACCUAAUUCCAUCAUGAUUUGUUUAGCAUGCGUAUGAAACAAACUUCCCACAUUGGAUCACAAAAACAAUGACAUCUCAGGAGAUGGAAUGAAAGAGAGAAUGCUUUCACCAAACAGCUCAAACAGGGAUACCAGAAGAUGCUCAUUAUUCAAGUCUUCAUUCAAACCUUGUUGAGAAUGUGAUGCGGAACAAUAAAUCAAAAAUAAAAAUAAAAAAUUAAAGUAGUAAAGAAUGAAGCUUUACAGAAAUAAGUUAAGAAUUAAAAGUAAAGCAAGGGAAAAGCCAGGGGAAAAAAAAAGAAUUGAAGAAGAAAAGUCUAUCAUUAUUAUUUAAUCAUAAAAAACUCUCCCAAAAAGUGAAAGAGAAACAUAUAAAUAGCAUAACCUUACAAUAUCCACUUAUUGGGUUCAACUCAUCAAUUAAAAUUUUCUAACAUAAAUAAGUCAAAUUAAUAAAAUAAAACAAUGAAAUAGGCCCAAAUGAGCUCAGUCUCCCAACCAAAAAGUGACAGGCUAGGUCAUUUUAUGUCGUCUUUGUCUAUAUACUCGUGUAAUUUGUGGUGUAAGUCUAAAGUCCCCACCAACUCUCCUAAUGUAGCUCUGGGUGACCUUGAUAACACUCCCAAAGUUCUGGAUCAAUCUGCUACAAAGUAUCUAUGGUGAUCUAAGUACAAUUUGAAUCAGGUCGGCCAACCCAAGAGUUAGAAACAGUUGAACCUCACUAUUCCAAGUAAAAAAAAACUUGUUCAUCCAAAAUGACAUCAAUAUUAUCCUUUUGUGUUCAGAUCAAGGUCAAAGGGGUAGAGGUUUCAAUAGGAUCAUCAAGAGGAGAGUUAGGUGGCAUCUCAAAUGGAUCAUUUGGAAUAGGAUGUUGUUUCUGGUAUGCAACUAAAUCCGCAGUGCUAAAUGUAAAGUUAAUGCCAAAAUCAAGUGGUAAAUCAAGAACAUAAACAUUUGGACCAACUCCUUGUAGCACUUUGAAUGGCCCUGCACUACGUGCAUGCAAUUUUCGAUUAGUUCCUGAAGGAAACUACUUGUGUCUAUUCCAUAUAAUAACUUAGUCUCCCACAUUAAAUUUAUUAUAUCAUCUAUGUAAAUAAGCUCAGAGUUUAUAUUGUGCAUUACUUGCUUGAAUUUGCUUAGUGAUCUAAAUAUGCAAAUUCUAAAUUUUACGUGUAAAAAACUUUGUUAACUCAAACACCUUAGUAUGAAGAGAUAUGGGAAGAAGGUUUAAAGGUUUCCUAGGCUUGUAACCAUGUACAACUUCAAAGGGACUCAUGCAAAUUGACCUAUUGACAGAACUCUUAUAUGCAAACUAGGUCAUAGGAAGAACCAAAUCCCAAUUCCUAUUAUGAUAACUCACUAGACACCUCAGAAAGUUGCCUAAUCUGGGUGGUAGGCACUAGAAAACUUCAACUGAGUUCCCACUAUAUGGCGAAGGGUUUUCUAGAAAUAACUCAUAAAUCUAACAUCCUUAUCUAAGACUAUGGUUUGGGGGAAAUCGUACAACUUGACAAUCUCGUUAAAAUAGAGUUCCGCAACUCUAGAAGCAUUUGUGAUCUUAGUACAAAAGAUAAAAUAGGUCAUCUUAGAGAAACAGUCGAAAACCAUAAAAAAGAAUCAUGCUUCUUUGCAGUACGUAGAAGCCCAAUCACAAAAUUCAUACUUACAUUUUGCCAAGGGCAAGUAGGAAAAGGUAACGGGGUGUAAAUACCAAUAUUUUGUUUUUUAUGCUUUGCUAGUUGACAUGUUCAACAUUGACCUCCCAACUUAGCUACAUCUCUUUCAAACUAGACAAAAAAAAUUGAUGUUCCCCCUCUUAAAUGGGUUUAUUUCUUCUAAAGUGUUCUGAAAGACCUCCAAUAUGAAUCUCCCAUACAAACUCCAGCAAGUUUAAAAUUAAAAUCCUACUACAACUUAGAAAAAACAUAGGCGGCUAUCUUUCCUUUAGUUUCAAGGAUAUCUUGGUCACUUUUACUUUUUCAUUACUUCAUAAUCUUCAGAGUAUGAUACCUUAUAGCUUCACGGUUACAAGUCAUUUCCUCAUUACUUUGGGUCUUUAAUGGGUUGUAUGGAAGACUAUAAAUAAGCCUUGAAUCAAUUCUGUAAUAUUUUCUUUCCUUCUCUUCUUCUCAUGGUAAAACAAAGAUUUAAUAUUAUGGGUUUUAUUUUAUUUUGUUUAUGCUUAAUUAAUAUAUUUUUUUCAGCUAGGAUCUAAGGCUUGUUUGGAUCAGGGUUUGGGCUUACUAGUAAAGGUUUUGAGUAAGUUUUUAUAUGUGGGUUAGUUUAGCCCACAAGGGUGGAUCCAUUUGGGUUAAUUUCUUAGAACAAUUUAAACACAUAUAAGCCUAAAUUUCACCAGCGAUUGAUAAAUAAUACUUGUGAAUUUUUUAAUUUUAACAUGUGAGAGAAAUUCUUGUAUUCUAUGGUUCUUAAACGAACUGAAUAUGACUUCUCAAAGUUUAAUUGGCUUCAUGACGUCAUUCGACAUCAUUCCAAUAAUGUUGGUGUCUCAGGAUAGGUUUUUAUUGUGUCACACUUCUAUUAGAUCAAUUUUGGCUUUUUAGGAUCAAAUUUUAAUCUUGAAUGUGGGUUGUGUGACCAUGUAUUCACGAGGUUCACAUCAGUGUUCAAGAGAUGCUAAUAAAUAUCUUUGAGUGGUAAAGGUAUGUCAAUAUUUGAUAAGGGCACUUGAGCAUCCAAUGACAUAGUGAGAUCCAAUUGGACAAGACUCCCAAUCUGAGAGCCAUUUCCCAAUUCAUAUUCUAUCAUACUUUAGAGUUCAUAUAUGGGGUUUCCUCGAAGGUGAUCCAUCCUACCUCAAUAAGCUAGAGGAGCUUGUCUUUAAAAGCAUAACAACUUUCAAUGUUAUGACCACUAGUGCCAUCAUGAUACUCGUAUGUCUAGUUAGUAUUAUACCAUUUUAGAUAUGGGGGUUGAAAUGGUUUCUAGAUAAUCAAAAUAAUUUGUCCAAUAUUGACCAAUCUUUCAAAUAUCUCUUUAAAAGAUAAAGGAAAGAGCGAUAUAGUUUUCUUUAACUAUUGUGACUUUUCAUAUAUUUUCUUAUUAGAUGGAACCUGAUUAGUCAUUUGAGGAGAAUGAUUAGGAUGCUAAGAUAUAGAAUGAUCUUGAUUCAUACUUCUCAUAUAGGAGUUAUCUUUUUAUUUGUCAAACGACAUAGCAUUAAACCUCUCUUCUUUAUUCCAGAUCCUUCUCAAUUUCAAUCCUUGCUCCACACUCUCUACUGUCGUUUUUAUCUCUAUUAAAUAAGCUCAUGAAUUACAAGUUAUGUAAUCACAAUAAGGAGUCUUUGAAGUAUUGAUGAAGAUGGAAUUGAGCUCAUUUUAUAGUAGUGGAGCGUAAACUUGGGUUGUCAUUUGUCGCAGCCUCAUCGCAUAUUCCUUGACUGACUCAUCAUUUCUCAUCUCAAUUCUUUGAAGGUCUAACCUGGUUAGAGCCAUCUUUAAGUUGAAUCCAAAUUGUUGCAGAAAUGCAUCAACCAAGUAUUCUUAUUUCUUCUUUUCAGAGCCAUUUAAAUCCAAGUUGGGUUUUAAAAUUAUGAUAAUAAUCAUUUUUAUCCUUACAUGUCUUAGUUGUAUAAUUUUAAAAUUAAGAGUUUUUUACAAGAAUAUUUUAGAGAAAAAAAAUAACAAAUAUUUUUUCUAGAGACAUGUCCUCUCUAUACCUUCUAUUUUGGAAGUAUAGACAUUCACUCCAAAAUUAUCCGAGGGACAUAUUUAUUUUUAUAUCUUUGUCUCUUCAACCAAAUAUAUUUAUGUCUUCAUUGUCUUCAUCUCUUUUGUUUCAGGACAGUAACCAAACACUAUUUAAUAUACACUAUUUAAACUAUUUUUAGUGAUUUGGAUAUUAGUUAUCUUUUUUGAAUAAAAUUUUAAGAGUCAAGUUUCUCUAUACAACUUUACUAUUUUAUUGUUUAAAGGGUUUUUAAGAAGUAAUAAACCCUAAUACUUUUGGUAAGCUGAAUCAUUUGUAUAAAGAAAGUAUCAUUGUUAACUUGAAUAUUUCAAAAGCUUAAACACCUAAAAAAUGUUAGACUGACAAAUAGACUCCUAAGUAACUAAAUGCUUUUCCUAUGGCCCUUUGAAUUACCCUAUCAUAAUAGAAAGUGAUUCAUCAUGCUAAAGAUAAUCGAGCCGUCUGCCAACCUAACACUACAUUCUGAACUUUUUCCACCGCUCUACUAUAUGUAUUUGUUAACAAGCAUAUGUAACAUAGGAACUCUAAAAUAUUACCCAAUAUUUUUUUGUUAAAGCAAACACUGAAAUGAAUUGAUAUCAAGAGCCACCCUUAAACGAAUAAAACAGUCUGGUUUUUAGCCACACUAACAUUUUUUUACCAAAAAGUUACAAAAGUCCUGUAUGAUAACUUUGAUUUGCUUCAAAUCAAGUUUUGCAAAAAAGAAUUAAGUCACCAACAAAUAUGGAUGACAACUUCACCUGACUCGUUUGCAAUCUAAUGUCAUUCAAUUCAAUUGGAUCAUAUUUUUGUCUAAUUUAUUUGAAAAACAAAUAAAAUUCAAUUCAAUUUGACUAAAGAUGGAUGCGUAGAUUAAUAAAUGGUUCACUUGACCCAUCACUUGACUCAACUUCUACAUGGUUUUUUAACCCUUUUAUAUUUUGUAAAGUUGUAAUUUAUAUUUCAAUAUAGUAUAUGGAUUUUUAUCUUAUUAAGGAUUGUUAUGGUUUUACAUAUAGAUAUAAAGUUUAGACUCUAUUUUAUUGUUUUAUGAUUUAUAGAUGGAUAUUUUUUUUUAAGCUUCAAUUUUAUUUUUUAAAUUUUGAUUAAAAAUAGAACAAUUGGAUCAAAUGAGAUACUUGUCGAAUGAAGAAAGUUCUUCAUCCACUCCAAUCUAAUCCAAUCGUAUAGAAGAUGAAGUCAAGUGCUGGAUUUAGAUAUCUCUGGUUAGAGACAAGAGAGCAAAAUUCAGUUGCAACCCAAUCUAUUAUUGUUUCUGUAAAUAACGAAAAGAUGAGAAAUAAUCGAACUUUUUUACUGAAAUAAACAAAUUCACUCUCUAGUCUCAACCGUAUUGGAUCAAUUUUUCUAUACAUGAAACAAAGGUAUAAGAAUAGAGGAUCUUCUUGUUGAAUACUUUGUGAUGAAGUAUAGGAAUUUGAAAUCUUAGCUUUCCAGCUCACUUAUAACAAAGUCAUUGUGAUACGCUUCAUGAUUAACGAAGUGAAACUAUCUAAAAUACCAUAUCCCUAAUAGCAUUUAGGAUCAAGUCCUACCUCAAACAAUCAUAAACCUUUUUUAGGUCUAUCUUAAUUAUCAUCAAAUAUUUUCUAAUUUUCUUUUAUACAUCUAGAGUUAAGAGCCAAUCAUAUAAUCAUAGUGGUAUUAUUGUGCUUCUUUGAAACAACACAUUGGUACUGACUAGCCAAUAUGUGCCAGUCAAGAGUAUUUGUUAUGAAACUCUGUGUAAACUUCUUAAUUGGUUAGCAUUCUUACUUCAAUGUAAUUAAUUUUUUACGUUCUGAAACUCUCAUAUGAAGCACAUCACGCAUUGCUUUCUUUAUACUUAACUUUUCUUAUAUGCAUGUCUUAUGUGAUAAGGAUAAGGAAAAUCUUCAAGUUUUCUAGUUUGUCGUGUUGGUAACAGACUAUUAACAUAUUUUACAAAAAUAAUGAUAAAGUUAUCUUCAGAUAACUUUUUCUACUCUAUCUGAAUUUAUCUUUUAAAUAACCUAAACUAAUCAGAUAAUUAGAGAGAAGAUAAUGCUAAUUAAUCUUGGUAAACUUCUAUCUUAGCCAAAUUAUCCUUUUACCAACCAUAAAAAGAUCACUAAUCUAAACUAAUAAAAUGACAAUUAUUACAAAGUUGAUCCUGCUAUUCUCUUAGGUCAUUAUCAGAAGGGGGAAAGUAAAGGUCUAAAGGCAAAAGGUCCAAACUUCUAUAUUUAAAAUUAGUUGAAAAUCACACCUUUUUUCUUUAUAAGUGGCAUGUUGAUGACAACUAUGUCACAUUUAGAAAGCAUUAAAUCUAGAUCCUCCUCAAACUUUUUACCUGUUAUAUUCUCCAACUCUUUCUCCAUCUUAAGUUUAUUAUGAUACAGUAGAGUGCAACUGAAAAGCUUCAAACGUUGGAGUAAAAGCCUUCUGAUGCGUCUAGCACCAAUAGUUCCCACCAUCUUACCUUCAAGAUUGUAAGCCCUGUAUGCAAUAGCUGCCACAUUCCACUCUUAUUGAUUGAUAACUUGAUGCUAUCUAAGUAAGAAAUUUUAUACAAGAACAAGGAUUCUCAUGAGCUCAUUUUUUGCAACUGAGACAACAUUGCUUCCUGUGACCUUUAUAGCAGUUAACCCAGCAAUAGCUACUACCUCCAAAUCUAUAUGAUCAGAACCAAUUCUAGUAAUGAGAAGCGCUUUUUUGCCCUCUUGAUCCUUUAUGCCGUAACAUCUGCGGGGUGGAAAGGUGUAGUGAUGAGGACAUGGAGAUCAAGAAUAUGCUUGUCAAGUUCUAUGACAAUUAUACAGUUGAAGAGCAAAAAAUCAACAAUCUAGCCAUCCUAAUAUUCUUGGAAAUAAAAGGCAUAAAUCUAAGAUCUUGAAAUCAUUUAAUGUCAUCACUACAAUUAGGACAUGGAGAUCAGCAGUUAAUCUUAUUGUUAAAGUAAAGGUCUAAAGGAAAAGGAUCCAAACUUCUAUAUUUAAAAUUAAUUGAAAAUCAUACCUUAUUUUCUUUGUAAGUGACAUGUUGAUGACAACAAUGUCAUAUUAAGAAAGCAUUAAAUCUAGAUCCUCCUUAAAAUUUGCCCAUGUCUGAUUCUCCAGCUCUGGCUCCAUCUUAAGUAUAUCAUGAUACAGUAAAGUGCAAUUAAAAGGCUUCAAACGUUGGAGUAAAAUCCUUUUGAUGCGUUAGCACCAACAGUUCCUACUAUCUUUCCUUUAAGAUUGUAAGCCUUGUAUGCAAUAACUGCCACAUUUCACUCCUUAUUGAUAACUUGAUGAUAUCCAGGUAAGAAAUUUCAUACAAGAACAAGGAUUCUCAUAAGCUCAUCUUAUGCAAUGGAGACAACAUUAAAAAGAGUGAAGCACUUAAUAACCUAUAUAUGCAGGAAUACAACUUCAACAAAGAACCUUAAUGCUUAAAAACAACACACUUACAAGCUUGUAGCUCCUCAUACUUUCAGCCUCGUGUGAAGAGAUGGACAAUGAUUGUCAAUGGUGAUCAUAUGCUAUAUUUCUAGCCUGUUGUUCAUAAUAAUUCUAUUAAGGAUUAAAUACUUGAUCAUCUUACAUCUUUUUAUGUGGAGGCCUACUUUAGUUUGUGUUAUGCCAGGUGUGUGUAAUGAGACAUAUAAUGAAUGUUGUGCAAAUAAAAUAUACACUCACUACAAUCCAACCAUUCUUUGUCAUCAGUUACAAUGAACUGGUGACCUUGUGAUUCCAGCCAGUCACCAAUGCCCAAAGCUCUUUCCAAGCAACCCACAAAAUUAGUGUUUGAUCAAAUUUUAAAAAUUAAAAAAAAAUUAAAACCUAUAGAGUAACAAUAAAAAUAUUAUUAAAAACAAAAACAUUAAACCUGGAGUUAAGGGGCUUCUUGGUCUUAGCCUUUUUAUAGAAGUUUUAUUUGUUUUUAAUUGCAUCAUUUAAUUUUAAUUUAUCAAAUAUUAUAUUCUCCAAUUUGGUGCUCAAUCUUUGGGUUUCAAAUUUUUUUACCUUGAACCUUUUGUAUAAGUUUUAUUAGUUUUCAAUUUCAUCUUUCAAUUUAAAUUAAUGGUAUUAUGUUUUCCAAUUUGGUCUUAUUAUUUUGAUUUCUAAUUUUUUUCUUAAUUGUUUUUGUAAAAGUUAUUAUUCUUUUUAAUUUCACUCUUCAAUCAAAACAUUCUUUUGAUUUUUUAUGUUAAUUUUUAUCCUCAUUCUUUAGAAUUUUUUUAUCCUUUUACUAAAUUGAUUUUUUUUUUCAAUCUCACCCUUCAAUCAAAUAUAAAUUUAUUUUAUAUUUUAAUUUUGAUCCUCAUUGUUUUAAUUAUUAUUUUUUAAUCUUUUUGUAUAAGAAAAAUGGUUUUCUAUAAAUAAGUACAUAGGAUAAUUUUAAUAAAUGAUUAAGUAAUCCAUUAAACAUGACGUGGUAAUAAAUAAGUAAAGAAUAUUGCAAGCACCAAGUUCUAAAAGUCCAUCUUUGAAGAAAAGAAAAAAAAUGAAAAAAUUCAGUUAGAACCAUAAUUAAGUCUCUAAGACAACUAUAUGCCCAUUAUUUAAUGUUUGACAAACAACACAUGUAGAAUAGACAACUAUAUGCCCGUAUUUUCAGUAUUUUCAUUUUUGUUGUGUAUUGCGGGGAAAAAAAAAAAAAAAAAGAACAUGGUCGGUCCGUCUUACAAGGAGAAGGGAAAGUGACCGCUGUCGGUGCUUUCGACGGGGGUUUUGAAAUUACCAGCACCAUCUUUGGACCUUCGAGAAGUCAACUUUCAUUUGAUUUUCGACUUUAUAAACGCGGCUAGCCCACCGAAUUUUAUUAGGGGAAAAGCCCAUUCCUAAGUUGCCAAUGCCAUUAGAUUCUGACUGAUGGCUCGCCUGUUUAAUAAUUUUUUAGUGGCUGACCGACCGAUCCUCGAAGCAGCGGAUCAUGCAAAGCGUCAAAUAACCAAAUGGAAACUGGGUGCUAACUAUAUUUCUGACUGCUAGUCAACUGUCUGUGUGCCCCUCAUUUACGUAUAAAUGAGCACGAGACCAGCUUCUUAUUCAUCAACAUCAAAUCAGUUAUCUCGAAAGCUUCUCUUUAUUUCACAGAGCACAGAGCCAACUCCUGAUUCAUCAAUAUCAUAUUAGUUCUCUCUAAAGCUUCCCUUUAAUUUACGGUUUUAAACCUUCUCUAGUUCUAGUUUGUGAGUAAAUUAAGAGAGACCAAAAAUGAGUGUGGAGAUUUUGGAUGGUGCCACCAUUGUCAACUUUCUGGAGGACGAGGAAGCAUUCAACGCGCAAAUAUGUGACCGCUUCGCCCACCUUGAUUCAGACCAUGAUGGCCGGCUUUCCUACGGGGAAAUGUUGAAGGAGCUGCAGUGUUUGAGGUUAUUGGAAACCCACUUCGGCGUGGAUGUGGAAACAGACCCGGAUGAGCUUGCUCUCGUCUAUGGUUCUCUUUUUGUCCAAUUUGAUCAUGACUUGAAUGGGACAGUGGAGUUAGAAGAGUUCAAGUCAGAGACCAAGCAAAUGAUGCUAGCCAUGGCCACUGGUAUGGGUUUCUUGCCUGUUCAGAUGGUCCUGGAAGAAGACAGUUUCCUGAAGAAGGCUGUGGAGUGGGAAUCUACUAAACUCGUUGCCUGACUAAUUCCACAUCCAUUACCCUAUACAUGACUCAUUAAUUGUCUUCGUUAUUUCUUUCUUCUCCGAAUGCAUUCCAAGUUUAGCUGAAUGUAGCAAAGAAAAUAAAUGAAAUGCUCUGUUAUUGGUGCAAUUUGGCAUCUUAAAACUCGGUUCUCUCCUAAUGCAAUUUGGUCAUGACCAUCCAGCCAUAGUUAAUAUAACGAAAGGCUGACAGAAACACGAAUAUCUUUCCUCUUUCAAGAGGGCUUCAUCAACUAAUAGAUACAUGGGCAGAAGGAUUGAGCUGGAUGCAUCUCAGUCAUCGUUCAAAAUUUAGCUUCAAGGGAAUGGAAUUGGUAGAACAGAGUUGCAUCAGAAUGGAAAAAGAACUUGCGUGUGUCAGGUCCAGGGGAACAGAUAAAAAUUAAAGAAAUAACUGUCCUCGUAUAAAGUAUAGUUAAAUAAAAAUUUCGAGUCGAAUCUGUUGUGCGUCUGAAAACCUAAUUCCAUCAUGAUUUGUUUAGCAUGCGUAUGAAACAAACUUCCCGCAUUGAAAAGAGGGAAGCAAUUAUUUAAAACGGUAGAGAUUGCGUUUCAAUCAAAACGCAGGAGCCAAGCGUUUGGUAAUAUCAAAAACGCUAAAAAUGACCGGUGGGACCCAUGCCAAUUCAUGUUUUAAACGCGACAUUCGCGAAGCAGCUCUAGGCUGCUUUUUGAAAUUUUGUAUUCGCGUGCACAGUGCAAUUCACUUGCACUGUUCGGGUGAUUUUUUUUUAUUUUUUUUUUAGUGUGUAUAGUUUUUGUAUAUAUUUUUUUUUAAAAAAACUAGUUUUACAUUGUCAUGUAAACAAUAUUUUUUUUUCCUGAAAAACUAGUAUAGAGCGAAUUAAAUUCACUCGCACUGUAAUAUCAAAUUAAUUUUAUUCAUGAUAAUAUUUUAUCUAAUUUUAUUGCAAGCUCAAAAAAUUAUAGAAACUGUAGUUCUUGUCGAAUGAAUUUUGUACGUAAUGGAAUUGUAGAUGGUUUAAUGGCAUAAUAAAAAAUAUUUUAUAUAAAGUAUUAUUUAUUUCAUGAAGUAAUAGUAAUGGUUAAAUCUACAAUAUUUAAAUUAAAAAUCAUCAAUUUUAAUAUGUAUAUUUUAAUUAUUUUAUAAUCUCAAUUUGAAAAGUAUUUUUUUAACCAAACACAUUAAACUACUUUUUCUUCAACCUCAAUUUCAACCACAGUUUUAACCAAACACCUAUUUUUUCAAACCAACCUCAACUAAAAGUACUUUUUAUAAAACAACUUUUUUCAAAUCACAACCACAAAAGCUACCGCAAUACCAAACACACACUUAAUAUCCUAUAUAUGCAAAAACGCAACUUGAACGAAGAACCUGGAUGGUUAAAAACAACACACUUGCAGGCUUGUAGCUCCUGAUAUUUUCAGCCUCGUGUGAAGAUGGACAAUGAUGGUUGAAAAAUCUUUGUAUGUUUUAUCUAGGUAGAUUACUCAUAAUAAUAAGAUUAUUUUUAAAAAAUCUUUGUCUUUUUUACCUGGGUAGCUCAUCCAUUGUAAUAAGACUACUCGAAAAAAAUCUUUGUAUUUCUCUACUUGAAUAGGUCACCCAUUACAAUAAAACUACUUUGAAAAGACCUUUGAGUUUUUCAUUUGGGUGGGUCACCCAUGAUAAAUUGAACAUUUCAGAAUCUUUGAAUUCUACCAAUAGACAGGUUGCUUGGUACUACCAUAUCACUUCAAAAGUCUUUCACAAAGAUAAUCUUUUUCUUUAGAAACUCUAUCUCCUUUUUUUUCGAGUACACUUUCUAACCCUCAUUCUUCAGAUAGUGUGCUUUUUAUCCCUAUCUAUUUUUUUCUGAGUGCACUUUUAAGCCCUUACUACAAACAUUUUCAGAAAGAUUGACCAUUUCUUAAUAUGGUGAGUCCAUAAUCUCGUUCUUUUUCUUCAUCUUUACAAAACUUAUUGUCUAAAGUCUCUCACGAGACUUUCGUUAUAAAGAUUGUAAAGAGAGAGGCAACUGUCAUAACUCAUUUCUGGAUUAUUCCCUAAAUUCACAUUUUUUUUCUUUCCAAAAUAAAAGUCAAAAAAGAAAAUAAAGAAAGCAAGAAAACUAGCGACAUAUAGGAAUAUUAAGUUGUGACUUUGGAAGCCUAAUUGUAUCCUAUUUUACCCACAACUGGAGAGACAAUGUAAAUUAAAGGUCAAAUUAAAUGAUUAUUGGAUGAAUCUACUUAAAAAUUAAGCUUGAGGAUAUAAUUAGAAUUUUAAUAGGCCAAUUUGAUUUAAUCAUGGGCCAAAUUGAGAAUUUAAUUAUGUUUAAGAAUUAAUUUGGGUAAUUAAAGGAUUUAAUGAGGUGCAAGAACUUAAUUAUACUUUAAAUAGGUCAAAUUAAUUUUAUUAAGGGCUUAAUUGAUGAAAAUCUAAGUUUAGAAGCCCAAUUUGAGCUUAAUUGAGAAAAUUGGAAUUUUAGAAAACCAAAUAUAAUUUCCUUAAAGUCAAUUGGUUCAAAUUAGGGGUAAAAUCGCAAGAAAAACAAAUUUUUUUGGUCAAUUAAGGGUUAAAUUGAAGAGAUUUGCAACUAAGGACCAUUUUGCAAAACAUAUCGAACUAUGGGGUAAUUCAUGAAAAUCAGGGAUGAAAUUGAAGAAAAUUUAAAGUUUGAUGGUCAAAUUGCAUAAAUCCAAGACCAAGGAUCAAAUUGAAAAAGAUGCUAAAAUUCAGGGCUGAUAUUGAAAUCCAGCAAGGGCAAAAUUGUAUUAAAUCAAAAGUUUGGAGUCAAUUAGGGGUCAAAUUGAAAGAAAUCAAAAGCUGAAGGACCAAAUUGAACUUUGGAAAACUACCUUAAUUUAAGGUCCAAAAUGGAUUUGUUUUUUAACAUUAAAAAAAAAAGGCAACCAGACGACGCAUCGUCUAGUUAAUGUCCAUUGUCUUCUUCUUCUGACCCGAAAACGUUGUUUGGAUGGCUAUUUUUCAUGGGCAUUUAAUACUUCAUCUCUCAAUCAAACCGGACAAACCAUACACCACCAUGAUGAGCUGACAUUAUACUUCACCCCAGAGUGGAUCUCGCCGGCUAAUUAUCCCUACAGCCGCCACAGUGUCGCCUCAAAUUGGUCAAUCUAACUAACAUUUAGCAACCAGCUUUUUCAGGUCAUGAUAACAACUUUGAACCAACGGUUAAGAUCCUUCUGUGUCGAAUCAAGAGCCAAGAUUGGCACUAGUAAAGACAAGAUGUCCAUCUUCCAUGCCCCGAGCAUCAAGAAAUUAGAGCCCAAAUUUGGUGCAAAUAAGUUUUUCUUACCAGAUCUUUUGUUCUUCUCCACCAGCCAUCUUCUUCCUCUUCUUUCGCAACAUCUUCGCUUCUUUCGCAACAUCUUCGCUUCCAGCAAUGCUGCCAACAACACGUUGGCCUUCCUAGCAUUGCUAAUUAGCAAUCCCCCAUAGUUGGUAACCUUUUCUUCCCCUUUUUGGAUGCAAACGAGGCAGCCAUUUGUAAGCAUAACAUUUGGUUCUGCAUGCAAAAUUCAACCACUUCAUAUGGUCAUUGGGUCGGGCCAAUGACCAUGUGAAGAUAGGUUGGACCCCUUCCAACCCAACCCAUGAUGGCUUGGUUAAGUACAGCCCAUAAAAAAGGAUGAAGGCCAGGUCUGUUGGGCUGCCUGGCGCCACGACCUGACCCGGCAAGGUCCGGCCCAAAUGGCUGGGUAGGGCCCAGCCCAAUAUAUAUAAUAAUAAUAUUAAAAUAAAAAUAAAAACUUUGAAAGCCCUUCCAAAAAAUUUGUGAUUUUCUCGCACGUUUUUCUAUCAAUUUUGCAUAAUAUCGGGCUGUAUAAUUACACUAUAUGAUACAUAUCCGAUAUUAAAACACCUAGUUUUUUCUGAAACAUUUCAAAAUAAAAUUCAAAAUUUUUUAAAUUAAUUUCCUCUUUCAAAAAAACAAAAAAUGUUUUGUUUUCAUGCAUAUAGUCAAAUCCUCAAAGUUUUCCAAGCAUGUUUUCAAAAAAAAAAAACAAAAAAUUGUAUUUUUCUCAUGUUUUAAAAUAUAAAAUAGAUAUCAUAACUAAUUUAUAAUUAUCCAUUAGGGUUUAACCAAAAUGUCAAAAACCCUUCACCAAUUAUUUUUUUCAUUUUAUAUUAUGGUUUAAAUGUAGACUUAAAUAUUUGGGGGCGUAAAACUAUACAGUAGAGUAUACCCUCAGGUAUUAAAGACAAAAGUUCAAUAUAAAUGCGAUACUAAAAUUUAGACUUUAGAACGGUUGGAUUUAACAUCAUAAGGUAUAGAUUUUGUCAUGAAGAGAGAUCUAUCUUAAACCUUAGACGAUUUCAACGAAUAGAAACUUAACUUAGAAUAACAAUCAAAAAACAAUGUACCUUACUUCAGGUAGGCUGCACUGGAGAUAAUGCGUCUUUUCCUUACACAAUCAGUCUCUUACUCAGACUCUCACAGACUAUAUGUUUCCUAGUAACCAUUAUAUUAAAUGGUGACUCUUAAAUCUUAAUUAUAAUUUUAUGCUUACAUCAAAAACUCUUUUUUUUUCUAACAAUACCUUUCAAGAGGCACUUAAAACGCGUCGUUUGACGUCGCCUGUGACAUAAUCCAUUAAACAUGAAAUGGAAAUAAAUAAGUAAAGAAUAUUGCAAGCAUCAAGUUGUCUAUCUCCGAAAAAAAAAAAGAAGAAGAAAAAUUUUGGAACCUUAAUUAAGUUUGUUUAAAUCUCUAUCACACCCAUUAUUUAAUGUUUGACAAACAACACAUGUAGAAUAGGUGAAACCAAACCUACAGUACAAUAUUUGCAUUUUUGUUGUGUUGUGAGAAAAAAAGAAAAGAAAAAGAACAUGGUCUGUCUCGGAAGGAGAAGGGAAAUUGACCGUUGUCGCUGCUUUUGACAGGGGGUUUGAAAUUAGCAACACCAUCUUGGGACCUUCGAGCAAGUCAACUUUCAUUUAAUUUUCGACUUUAUAAACACGGCUAGCCCACCGAAUUUUAUUAGGGGAAAAGCCCGUUCCCAAGUUGCCAUUGCCAUUAGAUUAUGACUUAUGGCUCACCUGUUUAAGAUAGUUCUAAUAAUAAAAUUUUAGUGGCUGACCGACCGAUCCUCGAAGCAGCAGAUUCUGCAAAGCGUCAAAAAACCAUGCAGCAAAGGGUAAUUAGAAGCAAGUCAGAAAAGCAAAAACCAAAUGGAAACCGGGUGCUGACUGCUCGUCAACUGUCUGUGUGCCCCUCAUUUACGUAUAAAUAAGCACAAGACCAACUUCUUAUUCAUCAACAUCAAAUCAGUUAUCUCGGAAAGCUUCUCUUUAUUUCACAGAGCACAGAGCCAACUCCUGAUUCAUCAAUAUCAUAUUAGUUCUCUCUAAAGCUUCCCUUUAAUUUACGGUUUUAAACCUUCUCUAGUUCUAGUUUGUGAGUAAAUUAAGAGAGACCAAAAAUGAGUGUGGAGAUUUUGGAUGGUGCCACCAUUGUCAACUUUCUGGAGGACGAGGAAGCAUUCAACGCGCAAAUAUGUGACCGCUUCGCCCACCUUGAUUCAGACCAUGAUGGACGGCUUUCCUACGGGGAAAUGUUGAAGGAGCUGCAGUGUUUGAGGUUAUUGGAAACCCACUUCGGCGUGGAUGUGGAA